AUGAAUCAAUAAAGGAAGAGAAUCCUGAGGAGUCAGAAGCUCCCCAGCUUCCAGCACAUUCCACUCAUUCCGUGAUAUAUCAACAAUGUAUUUUGUCCUGAUUUAGAUUCUAAAACAAGCCCGUUUGUUCAGGAGUCUACAAGAUUCAUUGUCUGUUCCUUGAUGUGACUGGGUCAUCGGAAGACUCUGAGUCAUCGUGGGUCCUCUGCUCCCUCUCUCACCUGGAUCAGGUGCUAAGACCCCAUUAGCCAACUCUAAACUGUAAGAUCUACCAGCAACGACAACAACAAAAACAACAACAACAACAACAACAACAAACCCAAAAGCCUGGAAGUGAAGCAUCACAAAAAAACAUUCUAAAGCUUUGUCUUUGUUUAAGGGAGACAUGGAAGAAGAUAAUGGCAGGCAAACUGGCACAUAAGGAAAGGAAGAAAGUCGUCUUUCCGAGCAUCAGCUUCCUUCUGUAUCCCACAGCCGUGUGGACUUUGAUUAACACACAAAGUGCAAAUUUCCAAUUAUAGAUAUCAUUUAGCCACCAUGGCACCAUGAGGGGAAAGAAAAAAAAAAAAAACAUAGUGAAAAUCGAAUCAAAGGCAGUACAUGAAUCAUCAACUCGGAACUCAGACCUCAAAGAUGUCCUGGGCGACCUCAGGCCUGGCUUCCCACUGAAGUGCUUUUGAGACAGGUCCAUCAAAGUGUGGAAUCCUGACUCUGCCAUUCAGUAGCUGCGAGGCUCUGAGUUGGCUUCUUUCAGCCUCGGUUUCCUCUUACUUGAAGUGUGUAUAAUUGUAGCAUAAUUAGCAUCAGCAAUGAUGUUAUAACACCAGCAAUGACUAAUAAUAGCCGUUGGUGACCACUUCAGCUCAGAAACACGUGGCUUAUAGUUAGGUGUUGAAUAUCUCCCUAAAGCUCAUGUGCUGAAGGCCUGGAUGUUGAAUGACGAUAGAAUCUUCAAAAGAAGCCCCCUUGGAAAGAUAUCCUCAAAGGAAGCCUGGCUGCGUCCUUUUCUUCUCUGCAGCUUCCUGGCCGUGAGGCAGGUGAUUUACUCGAUCACAAACUUGCACCACAAAUGAACUGCCUUCCCACCCAAUUGGUCAUGGACAAGAAAAUCCCAAACUGCCCACCAAUAUGAAACUUUUUUUUAAAUAAAUAAAUGCUGCCAUGUAUUUCACCGUAGUGAGCUAAAUUGACGAAUAAAAUGUACCUUUG